rnacentral:rRNA from 1 species
UUUAUCGGAGAGUUUGAUCCUGGCUCAGGACGAACGCUGGCGGCGUGCCUAAUACAUGCAAGUCGAGCGGACAGAUGGGAGCUUGCUCCCUGAUGUUAGCGGCGGACGGGUGAGUAACACGUGGGUAACCUGCCUGUAAGACUGGGAUAACUCCGGGAAACCGGGGCUAAUACCGGAUGGUUGUUUGAACCGCAUGGUUCAAAC